rnacentral:rRNA from 1 species
AUUGAACGCUGGCGGCAGGCCUAACACAUGCAAGUCGAGCGGAGCGGCGGACGGGUGAGUAAUGACUAGGAAUCUGCCUGGUAGUGGGGGAUAACGUCCGGAAACGGGCGCUAAUACCGCAUACUAUCAGAUGAGCCUAGGUCGGAUUAGCUAGUUGGUGGGGUAAAGGCCUACCAAGGCGACGAUCCGUAACUGGUCUGAGAUGAUGAACAGUAAAACUGGAGCUGAGACACGGUCCAAACUCCUACGGGAGGCAGCAGUGGGUGAUAUUGGACAAUGGGCGAAAGCCUGAUCCAGCCAUUCCGCGUGUGUGAAGAAGGUCUUCGGAUUGUAAAGCACUUUAAGUUGGGAGGCGUUACCAACAGAAUGGGCGCCGGCUAACUUCGUGCGAGCCGCCGCGGUAAUUC